rnacentral:rRNA from 1 species
AACGAACGCUGGCGGCAGGCCUAACACAUGCAAGUCGAGCGAGGACUUCGGUUCUAGCGGCGGUGGGGUGAGUAACGCGUGGGAAUGUGCCCUUCUCUACGGAAUAGCUCUGGGAAACUGGGCGUAAUACCGCAUACGCUCUAUUGGGGAAAGAUUUAUGGGGGAAGGAUCAGCCCGCGUUGGAUUAGGUAGUUGGUGGGGUAAUGGCCUGCCAAGGCGACGAUCCAUAGCUGGUUUGAGAGGAGGAUCAGCCACACUGGGACUGAGACACGGCCCAGACUCCUACGGAAGGGAGCAGUGGGGAAUCUUAGACAAUGGGGGCAACCCUGAUCUAGCCGUGCCGCGUAAGAGAUGAAGGCCUUAGGGUUGUAAAGCUCUUUCAGCUGGGAAGAUAAUGACGGUACCAGCAGAAGAAGCCCCGGCUAACUCCGUG